AAGAUUAGCCAUGCAUGUCUAAGUAUAAGCAAUCUAUACUGUGAAACUGCGAAUGGCUCAUUAAAUCAGUUAUCGUUUAUUUGAUAGUACCUUACUACUUGGAUAACCGUGGUAAUUCUAGAGCUAAUACAUGCUAAAAACCCCGACUUCGGAAGGGGUGUAUUUAUUAGAUAAAAAACCAAUGCCCUUCGGGGCUCCUUGGUGAAUCAUGAUAACUUAACGAAUCGCAUGGCCUUGCGCCGGCGAUGGUUCAUUCAAAUUUCUGCCCUAUCAACUUUCGAUUGUAGGAUAGUGGCCUACAAUGGUUUCAACGGGUAACGGGGAAUUAGGGUUCUAUUCCGGAGAGGGAGCCUGAGAAACGGCUACCACAUCCAAGGAAGGCAGCAGGCGCGCAAAUUACCCAAUCCCGAUACGGGGAGGUAGUGACAAUAAAUACUGAUACAGGGCUCUUUUGGGUCUUGUAAUUGGAAUGAGUACAAUUUAAAUACCUUAACGAGGAACAAUUGGAGGGCAAGUCUGGUGCCAGCAGCCGCGGUAAUUCCAGCUCCAAUAGCGUAUAUUAAAGUUGUUGCAGUUAAAAAGCUCGUAGUUGAACCUUGGGCCUGGCUGGCCGGUCUGCCUCACCGCAUGUACUGGUUCGGCCGGGUCUUUCCUCCUGGGGAUCCGCAUGCCCUUCACUGGGUGUGUUGGGGAACCAGGACUUUUACUUUGAAAAAAUUAGAGUGUUCAAAGCAGGCCUUUGCUCGAAUACAUUAGCAUGGAAUAAUAGAAUAGGACGUGCGGUCCUAUUUUGUUGGUUUCUAGGACCGCCGUAAUGAUUAAUAGGGAUAGUCGGGGGCAUCAGUAUUCAGUUGUCAGAGGUGAAAUUCUUGGAUUUACUGAAGACUAACUACUGCGAAAGCAUUUGCCAAGGAUGUUUUCAUUAAUCAGUGAACGAAAGUUAGGGGAUCGAAGACGAUCAGAUACCGUCGUAGUCUUAACCGUAAACUAUGCCGACUAGGGAUCGGGCGAUGUUAUUCUUUUGACUCGCUCGGCACCUUACGAGAAAUCAAAGUCUUUGGGUUCUGGGGGGGAAUAUGGUCGCAAGCUGACAA
rnacentral:rRNA from 1 species